AUCCGAGAUCGCGGCACUGCACACUAUCCUGGGCGACAGAGCCGGACCCCGUAUCAAGAAAGAAAAAGAAAAAGAAUCAAAGAAAAAGAAAUUACCAUCGCACAGUUAAGUCUGCCUUGCUAAACAGUGACUUCUAGGACCAAGAAAUCGCAGCCAGGGCUAGACCGGUGUUUGCCCUAAACUGGGACUUGCUUAGGCUGAGAAAUCACAUUUUGGCUAUUGAUUUAGACAAGAGGUAGCAAUCGCAGGCACCGCAAAAUCGAAACUUGGGAGAACCAAGAAGCCAACGACGCGCGAAACCGCAGAGGCCUGGGACAGAGACGCGAGCAGCGCCGCCGCCAGGGGACUGGGUUCUGGAGGCUAAGCCAGAACCCCUACGACGCAGCUCGCGGCGCUGUGAAGAGACGGCGCCCGCGCAGCUCCUCUGCCACUUGGCUCAAACGAGCGGCGGGCUCCCCCGCCCAGCGCCGCCGCCACCCGGGAACGCCAGACUCUGCGCAACUGGCUGCGACUCCAACUCCCUCAGAUCAGCUACCAGAGCGCUGCCGCCACCGAGAAAAUGGAGGCACCGAGGAACAAGCUGUGCCGCCACCAAGAGAACUCGGCUCCGCGAAAUGGCGGUGCCGGGACUUUGCGAGUGACGCCAGCCGGAGGAGUUCCCAAGGACAACAUCCGUUUUGGCGCAACCAACUGUGUUGUCACGGAGAAAAUGUCGACCCUCGGAAAAGAGAAGUUCUGCGACCGAGAAAUUCGGUGCAACAAGUGCUGUGACAGAAACCCUCCCCCCGGCUCGGCGCUGUUGGCGAAAGAGCCAACAAAACGCUGCGUGCUGCCACCGUGACACCGACUUUAGGACACAGGCCUCGGAUGGAGAAAGGAAGAGCACGGAGCCACCGCCUAACUUCCUAAUGUCUUCAAAUAGCGAAAGUGCUAACCGGAAACUGCCGGCUGGGUUUACCUUUUGGUGUUUCGCGUGGGACCAGCAGAUUCCAGAAACCAGAGGGACUGGAACCUAGUACACUUCGGCAAUUAGGAAAUGACCUACCAGGACAAAUAACUGCUUCUGGCUCCAUGGUGCUGCCCGUGAACAUCCGCCGGCUCUGAGAAACGAGCUGCACUGUCAAUGAGAAACCGUGGACACUGAGAAAGGAGCGGGCUGCAACUGAUAACUGCCCACCCAUUGCCACUAGGACAAAGUGCUGCCGGCACUACUCCCACCCUCCGUCCUCAAAUCAAUCCUCUCCCGCUUAAGAAGACCUUUAUUUUUCAUAGCGAAGUCAUACCGAGGGCCCCAGCAACCGACCCCUUGCGAUGUGCAUGGGAAAAGGAGGCAGUAUAGCGAUCGAGAAUCGGGCGGAUUAGGCUGGCCCUGGAAACAAAGUAAAAGCCAUCCGGGUCGCCAGCCGUCUUCCACUGCAAGAAACAAACCUUCCAGUGGCUGAGCUCCGCCCUUCUCCUUGGUCAGAGCCCUCCAAACUCCUAAGGGGAAGCCGACACCUCAUCCCUUUGGAAUUUGAAGCUCUCAGUCCAAGACCUCAGUGGAGAGUGAAAGACACAAUGCCGCCUGACCCAGGCUUCAGGCCUGCCCGGGCAGCUAGGUACCUCUCCAGGGGAUGGAACUCUGUGGGAACUGCUAUUUAAUUCUGAUGGUUAACUCUGUCAGAUGGCCUUGAUAUAUGGGAAUAAUCGUUGGAAGAGAGUAGAGGAAAUAAGAACCGCAAGACUCUAGCACAGGACGUGUGGAUUGAUGGUGAGGCCUCUGUUCCCUCUCCCCUUGAAAUCCUCAAAGGGCAGUUCCAUUUCUAUCACCUUUGACCUUUGAAAUUCAUCCCUGAUGUCUUCUCCAUCUUUGGGAAGUGCAGUGCAAUUUCAAGCUCUUCAAUCUUCCCUCUCCCCCAUUUGUCAAAUAUGCUGACGCUACAAACUUCUUUUUUAUAGGAAGCCUGAAACUGCCAUUGAGCAGAAGGAAAACAUCCCUUUCCAGAACCUUUCUCGUUUCUCUAAAAAUCUGCACUUUUGGAAGUGAUCCCCCAAAGAGACCUCCAGACUCUACCAUGAGUGUCUCCAGCUGAAUUCAUCAUGUCUAAUCCUCACCCUAGCUUAUCCUGUUCAAAUCAUUUCCAUCAUUUUCUGGAUGAAUCUGGGCGGAUGUCAGACCAGAGAAGAGCACAAAAUGCACCAGAGGUAAGAAGACCCAUUUUGGGCUCUCACUUCUCACCCACUCCCGAGAUGGUCACCUCCAGUCUUCCCCCCAUACCCUACCCUUUCUUCAGCUAGCCAAAACCUGCCCUGGUACUUGAGGCUUCUUCAAUUGCCUUCUUUUGCAGGCAGUAGAAUAAAGGAAAGAGGGCAGUGUCAAUAGAAGAAAAGUUACAGCCACUUUAUCUAAUUGAAGAUACUGUGCAGAGUCUUUGAAAAAACAAAAUAUCCCACCCACCAUUCCUCUCUCUCCGUUUCUACCUUAGCUUCCUAUUUUAGCAAAAAUGCUGGGAUCAGCACUUCUGGAGGGAAGGGAUCACCCUUCCAGGUUAGGAAUGUGGAGAGGAGUUAUGGAGCUCACGUCCCUAAAGGAGGGGGCAUUCUAGUUCCGGCAUUCAGAUUCAGUCUGAUUCCAAUAUGGUGUUUUUGUGGGGUGGUCAGAGAAAGGGCAAGUCAGGAACUGUAUAUUCCUCAGCUAGAGACUCUAAGACAUUUGCAUUUGGAAAAUCAGGAGAGAUGCUGAUAUUGUUUGGCUCCAUGUCCCCACCCAACUCUCACCUUGAAUUGUAAUAAUCCCCACAUGUCAAGGGUGAGACCAGGUGGAGAUAACUGAAUCAUGGGGGGUGGUUUUCCCCAUGCUGUUCUCGUGAUAAUGAGUGGGUCUCCAAGAUCUGAUAGUUUUAUAAUUGGCAUUUUCCCCUGCUGGCACACAUUCUCCUGCGCCCCUCUCAAGAGGUGCCUUCCACCAUGAUUGUAAGUUUCCUGAGGCCAUGCAGAGCUGUGAGUCAGUUAAACCUUCUUUCUUUAUAAA